UAGCUCAGUCAGUAGAGUGUAGCGCUAACAACACUAAGGUCACGGGUUUGAUUCCUGU
rnacentral:tRNA from 1 species